GGGGCAGCCGCGGCGCGGCGCGGCGGGUUGGGGGUCGCGGCCAGACCGUCCGCCCAGGGGGCGCCGUGGGCCUCGGCGGCGGGCCUCGGAGGACGCGACGGGGAAACGGGGCGGAGGCGCGGGCGCCGCGCGGAGGGGUUGCGGCUGUUGUCGCACCGGUCGCCCGGCUGCGCGGCGGGGGCGGGCCGACGGCGGCCGCCGCGCCAGGCCUCACAAAGAGCAAACAGCCCCGCGCGUCCGCCCGCGGUCCCAGCGCCGGGGCCCACCCUGAAGGAUCUGGGGCGGCCGCUCUGGGACCCCGGGAAGAGCGCGGCGAGGAAGAGGCACUUCCUGCCUGGGCCCCCCACCCUGGGCCGAUUCCCGAGUGCCUCGAAGCCGCCCGACCCGAACGGGCGCCUCAGUCCCCACCGGCCCCGAGUCCAGCCCCUCCCGCGGGACUCACCCUGAGCGGCGGUGAGAUCCGCGGCUGCCAGCGGCUUGUCGCUCUUCAGCUGGCGGCCAAUGUAGUCAGUCUGGGGACCCACCUCCCCCUUUCAGCUGAGCGCACACAACACAGCAUCCACGUGAGUCAGCUUCUUAAAGGCGAAGGCUUGGCCUGUCUAAUUGCGGCAGCUGCGAGACAUCGCACGUCAUUAGCGUCACCAGGUAGCGGCUGGAGCCGAGCUUCCUGAUACCUAGUGAGCCGCGGUGAUGACAAAUGAAAACAAUAAGCUGUUUCCUAGACAAACAGCUGCCUAGUUUCGCUCUGUCGCCCAGGCUGGAGUGCAGUGGCACAAUCUCGGUUCACUGCAACCUCUGCCUCCCGGGUUCAAGCAGUUCUCUUGCCUCAGCCUCCCAAGUAACUGGUACUACAGAGAAUUGAUACAAAAAAUGAUCAUGUGAAGAAUUUGCAUCUUCUGCAGAACUACCGGUAUCAGUCAGCAGUAGGAGAUUGUAUAAAUUCAGCCUGAGAUUCCAGAAUAUUCUGUGUAUUGACCACCACAGCAAGAAGAAAAAGUCCAUGUAGGACUGAAAUGUGCUGGCACCAAGAAAAUGCAUACACCCUGUGGGCAGCUCACUUUGAAGAGAGAGAGGAGAAGAAAGGGCUGGGCUGCCCCUACUCAAGCUCUUCUUCCAAAAGCAGUACUCAGAUGGGUCACUCCAUAAUUCCCAGGGUCCAGUCAGGGAGCGGUGGGGAGAGGCUGGAGUGGCCUACUAAGGGAGAGCCCUGUUAACAGAGCCUCCUACACAAGGAAGAAUCACUAGGAGAGGGGAAGGAACGUGCGAGGCCCCUGCCAACUCCUCUUCCAUACUCGUUCGUUUGCGCAUUCAACACACUUUUGAGCACCUUCUUUUCCUCUGUGCUCUGUGACAGGAAUUCAAACAUGAAACUAGAUGUGGCCUUGGCUUUCAGAGAAGUCAUUCCCUUAGUAGUGAAUACUAGUUCCCUGAAGUUUAACAUUGGAGGAGAAGGAGUUAUUAAACACCCAUUCUAAGCAAGAACAUCAGUAGCCUACAAAGGGCCUUUUUUCACACUUUGAGUCUGUUGAAGAAAACUCACAGUUGGUAUCACUUGCUUUAAAAGUGCCCCCCACUCUGCCUUGUACGGUCCGGAUUGCUGUGAGGCCAUGACAAGGAACCAAGUUCUGUUUUUCUGUGAAGAGAAUGGAAUAAUCAUUUACCUCUUUCCUGUGGCUGCCAGCUGGUCCCUUCACUCAGUCACUCCCUGUUUCUCCUUCCUCCCUUUCCUCUCCCCUUCCAGUACACAGAAUCCCUUCUCCAUAUCCCCCCAUGAUGAAGGACCACCAGUCAUUGGCUCACCUCUCUUCCAAAAUUCCAAUGACUAGAGUCUUUCUCAGAGUAUGUAUAACUGAUGUCACAGACCCCUGAGUCUGGAAGAGUCUAAGUAAAAGUGGGUGUUGACCUGAAUGUCCUGCUCCCUGCCUGCCCAUCUUCGACCUCAGCCCUCCUCCUCCAAAGCAGUCCCUCAGAACCCCUCCUGGUUUCAGUCUGGAUCCCACCACAUGUUGAAUGGCACCCUCUCAAUCUGGGACAGCGUCCGUUGAUUUUCUCCUGUGAUAAAUGAGUGCCUGGAGUAGGGAUGGCACAGAAGAACUAUUCAGCACAUGAAGCAGUGAAUGAAAAGACAAAAGGGCAAGAAAAGGAGAGAACAGUGGAGAAAAAAGAUUUUAAUUAAAUACAUGUGGGAAUUUAUCUCUGGCUAUUAUUUAUUCCACCAAGUACACGGAUGUAUGAAUUCAUUUAGCAAACCUUUCUUUUUUGCACAUUUGCUAUGUAUUAAGUGUUAGAU
rnacentral:lncRNA from 1 species